rnacentral:rRNA from 1 species
GACGAACGCUGGCGGCGUGCUUAACACAUGCAAGUCGAACGGAAAGGCCCUGCUUUUGUGGGGCGCUCGAGUGGCGAACGGGUGAGUAACACGUGAGUAACCUGCCCUUGACUUUGGGAUAACUUCAGGAAACUGGGGCUAAUACCGGAUAGGUGCUCCUGCUGCAUGGUGGGGGUUGGAAAGUUUCGGCGGUUGGGGAUGGACUCGCGGCUUAUCAGCUUGUUGGUGGGGUAGUGGCUUACCAAGGCUUUGACGGGUAGCCGGCCUGAGAGGGUGACCGGCCACAUUGGGACUGAGAUACGGCCCAGACUCCUACGGGAGGCAGCAGUGGGGAAUAUUGCACAAUGGGCGGAAGCCUGAUGCAGCAACGCCGCGUGCGGGAUGACGGCCUUCGGGUUGUAAACCGCUUUCGCCUGUGACGAAGCGUGAGUGACGGUAAUGGGUAAAGAAGCACCGGCUAACUACGUGCCAGCAGCCGCGGUGAUACGUAGGGUGCGAGCGUUGUCCGGAUUUAUUGGGCGUAAAGGGCUCGUAGGUGGUUGAUCGCGUCGGAAGUGUAAUCUUGGGGCUUAACCCUGAGCGUGCUUUCGAUACGGGUUGACUUGAGGAAGGUAGGGGAGAAUGGAAUUCCUGGUGGAGCGGUGGAAUGCGCAGAUAUCAGGAGGAACACCAGUGGCGAAGGCGGUUCUCUGGGCCUUUCCUGACGCUGAGGAGCGAAAGCGUGGGGAGCGAACAGGCUUAGAUACCCUGGUAGUCCACGCUGUAAACGGUGGGUACUAGGUGUGGGGUCCAUUCCACGGGUUCCGUGCCGUAGCUAACGCUUUAAGUACCCCGCCUGGGGAGUACGGCCGCAAGGCUAAAACUCAAAGGAAUUGACGGGGCCCCGCACAAGCGGCGGAGCAUGCGGAUUAAUUCGAUGCAACGCGUAGAACCUUACCUGGGUUUGACAUGGAUCGGGAGCGCUCAGAGAUGGGUGUGCCUCUUUUGGGGUCGGUUCACAGGUGGUGCAUGGCUGUCGUCAGCUCGUGUCGUGAGAUGUUGGGUUAAGUCCCGCAACGAGCGCAACCCUUGUUCACUGUUGCCAGCACGUUAUGGUGGGGACUCAGUGGAGACCGCCGGGGUCAACUCGGAGGAAGGUGGGGAUGACGUCAAGUCAUCAUGCCCCUUAUGUCCAGGGCUUCACGCAUGCUACAAUGGCUGGUACAGAGAGUGGCGAGCCUGUGAGGGUGAGCGAAUCUCGGAAAGCCGGUCUCAGUUCGGAUUGGGGUCUGCAACUCGACCUCAUGAAGUCGGAGUCGCUAGUAAUCGCAGAUCAGCAACGCUGCGGUGAAUACGUUCCCGGGGCU